UUAAGAGACAUCACUGUAAAGAAGAUUUCUAGCUAACCUUUUUAUCCAAUUGACCCAUUCAUGUUUACUUAACCUGCGGAUAAAACGCAUGAAUAUUCAGUUUAGCAUCAGCACAGACAUCAAUGCUAUCUACAAUGACAAAAUUCAAUGCAUGCAACCUACCAACUUUGGCUGCAAAUACUUUGGAUAUUUGCAGUUUAGAGCUCUACUACUAGCAAUCUAUGGUUAAUUAAACGAAUCAAACUGUUCAUAAAAAUUAAUUCUGCAUCUUUUUUGCCUUUCUUUUGAGAGCUCACUUAGCCUAACGUCUUUUGAUAUACUUUUUAUCUCUUGACACCCGGCUUUUCGGCCGUCUUUACUGUGCCACUUCAAACCAUUUCAUACGAAGAAUACAAAUAUUCUGGUUAACCCAUUCAAGUAGGAUUGUUUUGAAUAAUACCGUCAUUUCCGAGAUGCCAUUAACCCCAGCUUUCGCACGAAAGAAUGGAUUUAGUAUUCCAGACAAUAGAAUAAUUAUCCUUAAUUAUAACAUACGUUUGUUUCUAAAUAACGGUCCUAGUAACAUGAUACUUAUUACUAUAUUCUUAUAGAAGUUUUAAAAGAUAUUAGUAUACCACUGUUUGGUUUGAAAAGAUAUACCAAUGUAUCGGUUUAUAAUGCAAAAAAAAUAUUUAAUGCAGCU